AUCGCUUCAGUAUAGUUAUACGUCGAUCGAGUUGCAUAUCGGGUCCGUUUGAAUACAUUGCGCACGGAGUGGCGCGGCGAGUGCUCUUUAGUGAAUAGCACUACUCAAAUGACUGAAUAGAAUGAAUCUAAAUAUGGAUAUCAUCAGAUCUCCAUCUCUUCGCGACAGGAGGGUUAAGAUUCGUAUAUCAGACAACUUGUUUAUCUUUGGAGGAACCAAGGAGGAACCAAGUCUAACGAUAUAAAAUCCAGCUACAAUGUUUUGUCUUUGGACCACGUAUUGGUUGGCAAACACAAUUUUUUCCGAUUGAAUGUACACAUUAUACAAUUAUUAAAAAAUAAAUCACAAUAAAUAAAUACAACCGAUUGAA